UGUUGUUGUCGUCAUUGUCGUCGUGGUUGCUGUUGUUGUAGUAUUCAUUGUAGGUAUAAUUGAUUGUCGAAGAAUCGCAGAGGAAAUUUCAUUACUUUCUAACCAUCUUGCUACUUCUGGUGGUAUCUCUGGCCUCACAAUCUCGCAAGGAAAACCGUGAGGAACAUACGUAGGAAAUAAUGAACCUCGACGAGGAGAUGAAGGAGUAUGACGGCACCGAGGAUACCGGCUAGGACCCAACAAGUUAUCAUCCUAAUAUUUAUCGUCCUUUCGUUGAUGGUCUUGUCGUCCUGCUGGGACGAUAAUGGUCAAUGUGUUGUAAUUCGAUCAGACUUUGGAAGCUUUCAACUGGCGGGAAGCCGUGUUGUUAUCGAUUCGUGCUCGAGACGGUUCACUUUUCGUUGAUAAAAAGUUCUGGUCUCUUUUUAUCAUGUUAAACGACACUUUU